rnacentral:sRNA from 1 species
UUUAAGAAAAGAAUACCGUUUCUCCUACCCGUCAAUAUUGAAAUAAUUUCAGAGGUUUUCCUUGUUCUGUGUCAACAAACAAUUCGAAAUGCCUCGACUUUAUCAAUUUUUUGAUAAUUCUGAACUUUAGACCAAAUGCAUAUGGACGAGCUAUAUUCUGGACCAAAAAACAAAUGGUCUAAUUGGGCAUAUGACCAGUUUUGUCCACGGAUAAUAUGGGCUUGACCAUAUGGACAACGGGCUGCCCAUGGGCAUGAAUUGAGUCAAUAGACAUGUCUUCAUUUAAUUGUAUUUUUA